ACUAAGGCUAGCCCAACCGACCAUCAACCCAACUACCACAAUCAACCCUCAGCCAAAACAUUUAAUUACAUUAUUAUAGUAUAGGAGAUAGAAAUUCUACUUGGAGCUAUAGAGAAAGUACCGCAAGGGAACGAUGAAAGAUAAUUUAAAGUAACAAACAGCAAAGAUUACUUCUUGUACCUUUUGCAUAAUGAAUUAGCCAGUAUAAUCUAGCAAAGAGACCUUAAGUUAGCCUCCCCGAAACCAGACGAGCUACCUAUGAACAAUCCACAGGGAUGAACUCAUCUAUGUUGCAAAAUAGUGAGAAGAUUUGUAGGUAGAGGUGAAAAGCCUAACGAGCCUGGUGAUAGCUGGUUGCCCAGGACAGAAUCUCAGUUCAACUUUAAACUUGCCCAACAACCCCAAAAAAUUAUAAUGCAAGUUUAAAAUAUACUCUAAAAAGGUACAGCUUUUUAGAACAAGGAUACAGCCUUACUUAGAGAGUAAAACCUAACGACACCAUAGUAGGCCUAAAAGCAGCCACCAAUUAAGAAAGCGUUAAAGCUCAACAACUCAAUGUCCUUAAUCCAAAUAAUCAUAAGUCAACUCCUAAUGCGCUACUGGGCCAAUCUAUCCAACAAUAGAAGCAAUAAUGCUAGUAUGAGUAACAAGAAAUAUUUCUCCUUGCACAAGCUUAUAACAGCUGACGAAUGCUCACUGAUAGUUAACAGCACGAUAAAAACAAACCACCAAUAGAGUACUUAUCAGACUAACUGUUGGCCCAACACAGGUGUGCAACAAGGAAAGAUUAAAAGAAGCAAAAGGAACUCGGCAAACACAGACCCCGCCUGUUUACCAAAAACAUCACCUCCAGCAUAAUAAGUAUUGGAGGCACUGCCUGCCCAGUGACGCUAGUUCAACGGCCGCGGUAUCCUGACCGUGCAAAGGUAGCAUAAUCAUUUGUUCUCUAAAUAAGGACUUGUAUGAACGGCCACACGAGGGUCUUACUGUCUCUUGCUUCCAAUCAGUGAAAUUGACCUUCCCGUGAAGAGGCGGGAAUAGACUAAUAAGACGAGAAGACCCUAUGGAGCUUUAAUUAAUUACCCCAUGAUAAACCCGCUCAUCCACCGACAGGUGUAAAUAACUUUAUUAAUGGAGUAACAAUUUAGGUUGGGGUGACCUCGGAGAAUAAAAUAACCUCCGAGUGAUAUAAGCACAGACUAACCAGUCAAAGCACACUAUCAUUCAUUGAUCCAACAACUUGAUCAACGGAACAAGUUACCCUAGGGAUAACAGCGCAAUCCUAUUCAAGAGUUCAUAUCAACAAUAGGGUUUACGACCUCGAUGUUGGAUCAGGACAUCCUAAUGGUGCAGCAGCUAUUAAGGGUUCGUUUGUUCAACGAUUAAAGUCCUACGUGAUCUGAGUUCAGACCGGAGCAAUCCAGGUCGGUUUCUAUCUAUUAUAACAACUUCUCCCAGUACGAAAGGACAAGAGAAGUGAGGCCCAUCCUACCAGAAUGCCUUAGGACUAAUAGAUGAUAUGAUCUUAAUCCAGCCAGUCCAACCCCCCCCCCCCGCCCCAGAAACAGGGCUU
rnacentral:rRNA from 1 species